rnacentral:rRNA from 1 species
UACAGAGGUCUCAAGCGUUGUUCGGAUUCAUUGGGCGUAAAGGGUGCGUAGGCGGCGCGGUAAGUCGGGUGUGAAAUCUCGGGGCUUAACUCCGAAACUGCAUUCGAUACUGCCGUGCUUGAGGACUGGAGAGGAGACUGGAAUUUACGGUGUAGCGGUGAAAUGCGUAGAUAUCAGGAGGAGCACCGGUGGCGAAGGCGGGUCUCUGGGCCGAUACUGACGCUGAGGAGCGAAAGCGUGGGGAGCGAACAGG